rnacentral:rRNA from 1 species
ACAAGCAGCGGAGCGUGUGGUUAAUUCGAGGCUACACGAAGAACCUUACAGGGUUUGACAUGCAAGUGGUAGGAAUCCGAAAGGUGACCGACCCUUCGGGAGCUUGCACAGGUGCUGCAUGGCUGUCGUCAGCUCGUGUCGUGAGAUGUUCGGUUAAGUCCGCUAACGAGCGCAACCCUCGUCGUGUGUUAUACGUGUCACACGAUACUGCCGGUAUCAAGCCGGAGGAAGGUGGGGAUGAUGUCAAGUCAGCAUGGCCUUUAUAUCCUGGGCUACACACACGCUACAAUGGCAGAUACAAUAGGUUGCGAAACCGCGAGGUGGAGCCAAUCCUCAAAGUCUGUCUCAGUUCAGAUUGUAGGCUGCAACUCGCCUGCAUGAAGUUGGAGUUGCUAGUAAACGCAGGUCAGCUAUACUGCGUUGAAUACGUUCCCGGGGUUU